rnacentral:rRNA from 1 species
UUUUAUGGAGAGUUUGAUCCUGGCUCAGGAUGAACGCUGGCGGCGUGCCUAAUACAUGCAAGUCGAGCGAACGGACGAGAAGCUUGCUUCUCUGAUGUUAGCGGCGGACGGGUGAGUAACACGUGGAUAACCUACCUAUAAGACUGGGAUAACUUCGGGAAACCGGAGCUAAUACCGGAUAAUAUUUUGAACCGC